GGAACACGUAGUCAAGCCAAUCGUUCUCGCCGAUCAACCAUAUAAGGAUAGUCGUCUUAAAAGUUCCUGGUUUACUAAAUCCAAAGUUGGUAAAAGACUGAAAGAUUUAGUUUCUUUUUCAAUAAUGACGGUCUGCCAAGAAGCAAGGCUCAGUGACAUCGGGGACGAAAAGGCUAAAAACCAUCAACUUGUUGAAAAAAAAACAGACAACUUAGACAAGUUUCAGGGGCAUGUUAGAUCGCUCAUGCGGAUAGUGGAAGGAUACACUGCUCAUCUUUUCAAGUAUUUGAAACUCCAUGGUGGUCAUGCACAAAAAAGCAAUAAAUAAGGUAACUACAUAUAUUAUACAUGUUGCAUAUUGUGCAUACUGUUGCACGAUGAAGAACUCUGAUGGAGAAGCUACAUGUUACCAAUCAGUUGCUGAAAUAGGAGAAACUUUGAUGAAUGGUUUUUGUCAUCAAGCUGUUGGUAAUUGAGCUAAGGACAUUCAAAGUGCUGCUGUUUUCUAAUUUGUACCAUAGGACUUUCCACACCAGCUUCUGGUCUUCCUAUUCUAUAAGUCUGGCUGAUAGGAUGGUAGAAACAGCAAGAAACAGUGUGUUGAGUGUAGUGGCUAAGAACCUUUUCAACCAUGGGGUGAUAACUGGGAUGUCAUAAGUGUACUGUGUCAACUCUCGACCUGAUUUUUCAUUGCUGAUUUCCAUGUUUGGAUCUGGAUGAGCUAGUCGCUUAGCCAAGCCUUUCUCUUCAUCCAUAACUUUUAAGGAAAUUUUGUCUCCAAACCAAAUAGGUUUUUCUAGGUAUGCAAUGUGGCUUCAUUACAUAACCUGGUAUUAUGUUGUCCAAAAAGAAGCCUAGUACUCCUGCUGUGCUCAUGCUCAUGAGAACAGUGACUAUCUAACUGAAGAUAUGCAAUCGCCUGUAAAACCGUCAAGAUGGGCUUUCAUCCAUUGUGAACGGGAAGGAAAGUGAACUAUCAUGGGGUGUGAUCUUCAUAUCAAGGGAUGCUGUGUGUGUCCUCUCAGUGACCCUAGAUCAAUACUGAGGGGAUCUAAUAAAGGGCUGUAUAAUGGUUGCAGAAAAACGAGCCAUUUGCUACAAUUACGUGCAGGAAUUGUGGAUAUCAAAAGACAGCUGCUGAAUGUAUCUGUAAGAUGUGGCCUAGUACUUACCACAUUCAUAUCAUAUUGAUCCUUACUUUACUAAUAGCAUUAAUGGACAGUUGGAUCAGAUAAGUGUUGAUCAAAGUUAUCUCGUUGACUUUGUGGAACAUUCGGGUUUGACGUUAAACUUAUCCGAAGCGAGUGUGAUUAAGAACAAGAAAAUCACGGGCAAGAAAGAUUGUGCAGCAUGCAAUGGCUUAUUAGCAGAUUUCUUUCGAUACCGUUGUCUUUUACCGUCGUUUUUAUACCGUCAUGUAGUUAUUAACUCUGCUGUUGCCCGGUUUCGGAAUUUUAUAGCACGUCGUUCCCUGUCGAAAUUGUCUGCUUCGUGCUGAGAACCUGUAUUCGCGAAAAAUACCUUGUCAUCGUUGUUUUGUCAUAGGUAGUUGUGUAGA